rnacentral:rRNA from 1 species
UACGUAGGGUGCGAGCGUUGUCCGGAAUUAUUGGGAGUAAAGAGCUUGUAGGCGGUUUGUCGCGUCUGCUGUGAAAAUCCGGGGCUCAACCCCGGACUUGCAGUGGGUACGGGCAGACUAGAGUGUGGUAGGGGAGACUGGAAUUCCUGGUGUAGCGGUGAAAUGCGCAGAUAUCAGGAGGAACACCGAUGGCGAAGGCAGGUCUCUGGGCCACUACUGACGCUGAGAAGCGAAAGCAUGGAGAGCGAACAGGAUUAGA